rnacentral:rRNA from 1 species
UACGAAGGUCCCAAGCGUUAUCCGGAUUUAUUGGGUUUAAAGGGUGCGUAGGCGGAUUAUUAAGUCAGUGGUGAAAGCCCCAAGCUCAACUUGGGAACUGCCAUUGAUACUGAUGAUCUUGAGUACAUUUGAGGUGGGCGGAAUGUGUCAUGUAGCGGUGAAAUGCUUAGAUAUGACACAGAACACCGAUUGCGAAGGCAGCUCACUAAACUGUAACUGACGCUGAGGCACGAAAGCGUGGGGAGCAAACAGG